UACGUAGGGGGCAAGCGUUAUCCGGAUUCACUGGGCGUAAAGGGAGCGCAGGCGGCAUGGCAAGUCUGAUGUGAAAACCCGGGGCCCAACCCCGGGAGUGCAUUGGAAACUGCCAGGCUGGAGUGUCGGAGGGGUAAGCGGAAUUCCUAGUGUAGCGGUGAAAUGCGUAGAUAUUAGGAGGAACACCAGUGGCGAGGGCGGCUUACUGGACGACUACUGACGCUGAGGCUCGAAAGCGUGGGGAGCAAACAGG
rnacentral:rRNA from 1 species